rnacentral:rRNA from 1 species
AGAGUUUGAUCAUGGCUCAGAUUGAACGCUGGCGGCAUGCUUUACACAUGCAAGUCGAACGGUAACAGGUCUUCGGAUGCUGACGAGUGGCGAACGGGUGAGUAAUGCAUCGGAACGUGCCCAGUCGUGGGGGAUAACGCAGCGAAAGCUGCGCUAAUACCGCAUACGAUCUAUGGAUGAAAGCGGGGGACCUUAGGGCCUCGCGCGAUUGGAGCGGCCGAUGUCAGAUUAGGUAGUUGGUGGGGUAAAGGCUCACCAAGCCAACGAUCUGUAGCUGGUCUGAGAGGACGACCAGCCACACUGGAACUGGGACACGGUCCAGACUCCUACGGGAGGCAGCAGUGGGGAAUUUUGGACAAUGGGCGAAAGCCUGAUCCAGCAAUGCCGCGUGCAGGAAGAAGGCCUUCGGGUUGUAAACUGCUUUUGUACGGAACGAAACGGUCUGGGUUAAUACCCUGGGCUAAUGACGGUACCGUAAGAAUAAGCACCGGCUAACUACGUGCCAGCAGCCGCGGUAAUACGUAGGGUGCAAGCGUUAAUCGGAAUUACUGGGCGUAAAGCGUGCGCAGGCGGUUUUGUAAGACAGGCGUGAAAUCCCCGGGCUCAACCUGGGAAUUGCGCUUGUGACUGCAAGGCUGGAGUGCGGCAGAGGGGGAUGGAAUUCCGCGUGUAGCAGUGAAAUGCGUAGAUAUGCGGAGGAACACCGAUGGCGAAGGCAAUCCCCUGGGCCUGCACUGACGCUCAUGCACGAAAGCGUGGGGAGCAAACAGGAUUAGAUACCCUGGUAGUCCACGCCCUAAACGAUGUCAACUGGUUGUUGGGUCUCUUCUGACUCAGUAACGAAGCUAACGCGUGAAGUUGACCGCCUGGGGAGUACGGCCGCAAGGGUUGAAACUCAAAGGAAUUGACGG